CCCAUAGUAACUGCGAGUGAAAUGGGAAGAGCCCAGCGCUGAAUCCGAGGGUCGGCAACGGCCCUUGGAGCUGUAGCGUGAAGGUGGUCCUAAUUCGUGCGGCUGGUUGGCGUAAGUUCUCCUGAGUGAGGCUCCAUGCCAUGGAGGGUGCAAGCCCCGUAUCGCCGGCAGUCUGUGCGAAUAUAAGGCUACCAGAGAGUCGCCUUGUUUGCGAGUACAAGGUGAAGUCGGUGGUAAACGCCAUCGAAGGCUAAAUAUGACCACGAGUCCGAUAGCGAACAAGUACAGUGAUGGAAAAUUGAAAAGAACUUUGAAGAGAGAGUGAAACAGUGCGUGAAACCGCUCAGAGGCAAGCAGAUGGGGCCUCGAAGGCAGAGCAGCGAAUUCAGUUGGUAGUCCGUGAGGCUGGCGGGAUGUGAGAUUGCAAAACUCUGCCCGUUGGCAUGCAGCGGCUGCUGAUGCACUUUCGCUGUUCGUACGCCUCCGCCGUUGACGCUUAGCAUCCGCCUGGCUUGCAUUGUGGAGCCUAACUCUUUCGGGAGUUGGUGUCUCACGGCGAGUUUUGGCGCGUUUGUUCGUCAACCGGUCAAGUCAGCAUGUGCCAGCGUAAGCGUUGGGUUUAGCGCUCUGUUGCGGUGUGGUGGAUGACGGUCGCAAGACCGGCUCUGCCCUCCGUGAUUGACCCGCAAAGACUUUCAACGUGGUGCAUUGUAGAUUCGGAGGCGAGUANNNNNNNNNNNNNNNNNNNNNNNNNNNNNNNNNCCAAGGAGUUCAACAUGCACGCUAGUUGUUGGGUGAGAAAUGACCCGCUAGCGGAGUGAAAGCAAGUCACGGCUUUGCCGUGUAUUUGGCGAGAUCCCGUCACUUGGUCGUGUCAAAGCGAUCAAGCCGGGCGCAUCGCCGGCACAUCAUGAGCUCACGUGGCUGUGGUGUAGCUUGAGCGUGCGCGUUGAGACCCGAAAGAUGGUGAACUAUGCCUGGACAGGAUGAAGCCAGGGGAAACUCUGGUGGAGGUCCGUAGCGAUUCUGACGUGCAAAUCGAUCGUCUGAUCUGGGUAUAGGGGCGAAAGACUAAUCGAACCAUCUAGUAGCUGGUUCCCUCCGAAGUUUCCCUCAGGAUAGCUGGCACUCGGAGAACGUAGUCUCUCCCGAUAAAGCGAAUGAUUAGAGGUCUUGGGGUCGAAACGACCUCAACCUAUUCUCAAACUUUGAAUGGGUGAGAAGUCCGGCUUGCUUAAAUGCGAAGCUGAAGUCCGGACGUUGGAUACGAGCGCCUAGUGGGCCACUUUUG
rnacentral:rRNA from 1 species